GACGAACGCUGGCGGCGUGCUUAACACAUGCAAGUCGAACGGAAAGGCCCUGCUUUUGUGGGGUGCUCGAGUGGCGAACGGGUGAGUAACACGUGAGUAACCUGCCCUAGACUUUGGGGUAACUUCAGGAAACUGGGGCUAAUACAGGACAGGAGCUCCUGCUGCAUGGUGGGCGUUGGAACGUUUCGGCGGUUGGGGAUGGACUGGCGGCUUAUCAGCUUGUUGGUGGGGUAGUGGCUUACCAAGGCUGUGACGGGUAGCCGGCCUGAGAGGGUGACCGGCCACAUUGGGACUGAGAUACGGCCCAGACUCCUACGGGAGGCAGCAGUGGGGAGUAUUGCACAAUGGGCGGAAGCCUGAUGCAGCAACGCCGCGUGCGGGAUGACGGCCUUCGGGUUGUAAACCGCUUUCGCCUGUGACGAAGCGUGAGUGACGGUAAUGGGUAAAGAAGCACCGGCUAACUACGUG
rnacentral:rRNA from 1 species